CCUACGGGAGGCAGCAGUGGGGAAUUUUGGACAAUGGGCGCAAGCCUGAUCCAGCAAUGCCGCGUGCAGGAUGAAGGCCUUCGGGUUGUAAACUGCUUUUGUGAGCAGCUCGGUACCGUAAGAAUAAGCACCGGCUAACUACGUGCCAGCAGCCGCGGUAAUACGUAGGGUGCAAGCGUUAAUCGGAAUUACUGGGCGUAAAGCGUGCGCAGGCGGUUAUGUAAGACAGAUGUGAAAUCCCCGGGCUCAACCUGGGAACUGCAUUUGUGACUGCAUAGCUAGAGUACGGCAGAGGGGGAUGGAAUUCCGCGUGUAGCAGUGAAAUGCGUAGAUAUGCGGAGGAACACCGAUGGCGAAGGCAAUCCCCUGGGCCUGACUGACGCUCAUGCACGAAAGCGUGGGGAGCAAACAGGAUUAGAUACCCUAGUAGUC
rnacentral:rRNA from 1 species